UACGGAGGGUGCAAGCGUUAUGGAUUCACUGGGUUUAAAGGGUGCGUAGGUGGGCAGGUAAGUCAGUGGUGAAAUCUCCGGGCUUAACCCGGAAACUGCCGUUGAUACUAUCUGUCUUGAAUAUAGUGGAGGUGAGCGGAAUAUGUCAUGUAGCGGUGAAAUGCUUAGAUAUGACAUAGAACACCCAUUGCGAAGGCAGCUCGCUACACUAUCAUUGACACUGAGGCACGAAAGCGUGGGGAUCAAACAGG
rnacentral:rRNA from 1 species